rnacentral:misc_RNA from 1 species
AACGCCGUCGAGACGACCCAGGCGGCGAUCCUGACACGCCGCAUCUGGGCCUCCGUGGCGGCCGGGUCGCGCCGCAGCUGCUGGAGCUUGGCGAAGCAGCACGCGAACACGACGACGAGGAAGUAGGUGACGAUGGCGAACACAAGGUCGCGCUUGUUGUGGUUGUGGCACGCGCGGUAGAUGGCGAACGCGAAGCCGACGGUCACGCCGAGGAAGAGGAGCAGCCGGGCGACCACGGCGCACGGGACGCGCCAGCCCCGACGACCCUGGCCCUCCAUCUGCCCCGGCCCAUGCUGCGGCGCCGGCGCCAUUACCGGUGUCUCGUAACCAUGCGCGACGGUGAACACGGGCUCCAUGCACGGCGCGGCGAGGGGGUACGGUCUUCAGAGAGGGAGGUCCAGCUGCUUGCUACAGCUGCGGGCGACGUCGAUCGACGACCGUGUGUGUUGCGUUCGCAGGUGUUUCUUUGUUG